rnacentral:rRNA from 1 species
AUUGAACGCUGGCGGCAGGCCUAACACAUGCACGUCGAACGAGUGGCGGACGGGUGAGUAAUGUCUGGGAAACUGCCCGAUGGAAGGGGAUAACUACUGGAAACGGUAGCUAAUACCGCCUACCAUCGUAUGUGCCCCAAGGGGAUUAGCUUGUAGGUGCGGUAACGGCUCACCUAGGCUACUAUCCCUAGCUGGUCUGAGAGGUGGACCAGCCACACUGGAACUGCGAUACGGUCCAGACUCGUACGGGAGUCAGCAGUGGGGAAUAUUGCACAAUGGGCGCAAGCCUGCUGCAGCCAUGCCGCGUGUAUGAAGAAGGCCUUCGGGUUGUAAAGUACGUUCAGCGGGGCGGCGUUACCCGCAGAAGAAGCACCGGCUAACUCCGUGCCAGCAGCCGCGGUAAUUC